GGGUGUAAAGUGUGAGUAGGUGGUUUCUUAAGUCUGCUGUGAAAGCCCCGGGCUCAACCUGGGAAUUGCAGUGGAUACUGGGAAGCUAGAGUGCGGUAGAGGGUAGUGGAAUUCCCGGUGUAGCGGUGAAAUGCGUAGAGAUCGGGAGGAACACCAGUGGCGAAGGCGGCUACCUGGACCAGCACUGACACUGAGUCACGAAAGCGUGGGGAGCAAACAGGAUUAGAUACCCUGGUAGUCCACGCCCUAAACGAUGCGAACUGGAUGUUGGGUGCAACUUGGCACUCAGUAUCGAAGCUAACGCGUUAAGUUCGCCGCCUGGGGAGUACGGUCGCAAGACUGAAACU
rnacentral:rRNA from 1 species